rnacentral:rRNA from 1 species
AACCUGGUUGAUCCUGCCAGUGGCCACUGCUAUUGGGAUUCGACUAAGCCAUGCGAGUCGAGAGGCUUCGGCCCUCGGCUGACGGCUCAGUAACACGUGGAUAAUCUGCCCUUAGGUGGAGGAUAACCUCGGGAAACUGAGAAUAAUACUCCAUAGGUCUAGGAUGCUGGAAUGCAUCUAGACUGAAAACUCCGGUGCCUAAGGAUGAGUCUGCGGACUAUCAGGUUGUAGUCAGGGUAAAGACCUGACUAGCCUACGACGGAUAUGGGUUGUGAGAGCAAUAACCCAGAGAUGAUAUCUGAGACACGAUAUCAGGCCCUACGGGGCGCAGCAGGCGCGAAAACUUCACACUGUGCGAAAGCACGAUGAGGGAAUCCCAAGUGCCAGCUCGUAAGAGUUGGCUGUUUUUCUGUCUAAAACACAGAGAGAGUAAGAGCUGGGUAAGACGGGUGCCAGCCGCCGCGGUAAUACCUGCAGCUCGAGUGGUGGCCGCUAUUAUUGGGCCUAAAACGUCCGUAGCCGGUUUGGUAAAUGCCUGGGUAAAUCGUGUAGCUUAACUAUACGAAUUCCGGGUAGACUGCUAAACUUGAGACCGGGAGAGGCUAGAGGUACUCCUGGGGUAGAGGUGAAAUUCUGUAAUCCUGGGGGGACCACCAGUGGCGAAGGCGUCUAGCUAGAACGGAUCUGACGGUGAGGGACGAAGCCCUGGGGCGCANACCGGAUUAGAUACCCGGGUAGUCCAGGGUGUAAACGCUGCUUGCUUGAUGUUAGUUGGGCUCCGAG